rnacentral:tRNA from 1 species
UGCGGAGUGGUGUAAUCGGUAACACGCCUGACUCUGGAUCAGGUAACUCCAGGUUCGAGUCCUGGCUCCGCAG